rnacentral:rRNA from 1 species
AUUGAACGCUGGCGGCAGGCCCAACACAUGCAAGUCGAAUGGUAACAGGAAACAGCUUGCUGUUUCGCUGACGAGUGGCGGACGGGUGAGUAAUGUCUGGGAAACUGCCUGAUGGAGGGGGAUAACUACUGGAAACGGUAGCUAAUACCGCAUAACGUCGCAAGACCAAAGAGGGGGACCUUCGGGCCUCUUGCCAUCAGAUGUGCCCAGAUGGGAUUAGCUAGUAGGUGGGGUAACGGCUCACCUAGGCGACGAUCCCUAGCUGGUCUGAGAGGAUGACCAGCCACACUGGAACUGAGACACGGUCCAGACUCCUACGGGAGGCAGCAGUGGGGAAUAGUGCACAAUGGGCGCAAGCCUGAUGCAGCCAUGCCGCGUGUAUGAAGAAGGCCUUCGGGUUGUAAAGUACUUUCAGCGGGGAGGAAGGGAGUAAAGUUAAUACCUUUGCUCAUUGACGUUACCCGCAGAAGAAGCACCGGCUAACUCCGUG